GUCAUUCUACGAGAGUGGUCGCUCUGAAACAAUUUUGCCAAAUAUUUUAUAUAUUACCUAUCGUGAUACACAAACGAUGAAAUUGAUUAAGAUAUAUCUCCGUUAUUAUCCACCAGGCAUGGCGCUCAAUUAUCGGAAACGCAAUGUGGAAGGAACCAAAAUGAUUGACUUGUUUGAUCUAACUCCAAGCUGCGAUCUCCAAGCGGUUACCAAGAAAAUCGCCUCUUCGGAGCCACUGAUAACGCAGGAAAUUUAUCCGCAAGUGAUAGAUAUUCUCGAAAAACUGCAGAAAAAGCUCAAGGAGCCAAUCAAAACGAAGUUUUACCUUUUUAAAACUCUCCAAACGCACAUUCUCCCACUCACUAAUGUGGCCUUCGACAAAUCGGGCAAAAGAUGCAUCACCGGAUCAUACGACAGAACGUGUCGCAUUUGGAACAUUGAAAGUGGUGAUGAAGAGAAAGUACUCAAGGGUCAUGAAAAUGUUGUUUUCUCUGUAGCAUACAAUUAUCCAAAAUGCGAUCGCAUUCUGACGGGUUCGUUCGAUAAAACGGCGAGGAUUUGGAAUCCCACUUCGGGCAACUGCCUGAACACAUUGUGGGGACACACAGCCGAGAUCGUUGCGGCUGAAUUCAACCCCAAUCAGAGCGAACAGGUGGUCACGUGCAGCAUGGAUAACACCGCACGUGUGUUCCAUUCAGAAACAGGACAGGAGGUUCAGCUAUUGGAUGAUCAUUCAGCUGAGGUGAUUUCCGCUCGGUUCAACAGAGAUGGAAACCUGUUGCUAACGGCAUCAUUUGAUGAAACUGCCAUUAUUUGGGAUAUGCGAAUGAAAGAACAUGCUAUCGUUAUCAAAGGUCACGAGGCAGAACUGAGUAACGCAAUUUGGAAUUUUCAGUGUUCACUGGUGGCGACUAGCUCCUUGGACAAAACGGCAAAACUUUGGGACGUUCGCAAGAUGGAGUACUGUCAAGCUACGGCAAAUCAUAAAGACGAAGUUCUAGAUGUUGCAUUCAACUGCACGGGAUCACGAUUAGCCACCGGUAGUGCGGAUUGUACCGCCAAAGUAUGGGAUGUUUCUGGCAACUUUGAGCUGGUCACUAUAAUGGCUGGCCAUACGGAUGAAGUUUCGAAGGUUACAUUUAGUCCACCAGGCGGACUGCUGCUAACAGCUUCCGCCGACAAAACGGCUCGCAUAUGGAACUCUGUGACGGGAAUUUGCACGCAAACACUGCCAGGACACGAUGGUGAAGUAUUUUCCUGCUCAUUUAAUUACUGCGGAGAUGCCAUCAUCACCGCUUCGAAGGACAAUACAUGUAAGAUAUGGAGAUGAUACGACUGGUUCUCGGGGCAAGCCUUUAAAGUAUGUAACUGUAUGAACAUUAUCUCUAACUACAAAUAUCAUAAGUUAUAACGGGCAAGGAUGUAGGCCAUUUACAAUAGGAGAUUUCAUAUCCGUUGCUUCAUAUUAAGAGUGCUCAAUUCAUCUUCUCGUAUGUCAUCGUAGUAAAAAGUUGCCAUCAUCUUAGUAGCCAAAAUCAUUGCCAUAAGCUACAUAGUUUUAUAGUGUUGAGUAGAUUUAUCAUAAUAUUAUUAUAAUGUGUAGUAGACAGUGUACAUGAGAUAAAUAAAUAUUCACAUUUCAAUAUUCAUAUAUAUUUUGCUUACAUUGGAGGGAGAACUUCAUCGUUACUAGAAUAAAUAAGCAACUCGAAUUAAUUUGGCUUCCUUAUCCAUACCACAACCUCAAAACCAUUUUCUUCAAAUCUUAACAGUUUAAUCACUGUAACUUGACGUAGAAAAUGAUAAUAUAUUCUGUCAAAUAUAUACCAGGAAUUUGUGUUUUUAAAUAAAAUGCUUUAUUUAUCAUUUAAAUUUAAAUUAUCAUCUUCAAAAUAGGCCCCUUCUGGAGCAAUGUACUUUUUCCAACGAACAAUUCAGUCAUCGAAACACCUUUUCUAUUCGUUUUUAUGUCUUCAUUGCUGUCAGAACGGGUCCCACGAAGCGAUAAUUUGUGUUUCUUUCGGGCAAUAGGAAAAAGUCACACGGGACCAUAUCUGGAGAGUACGGUGCUUGCUCAAUCACAUUCAUGCCAUUUUAGGACAAAAAUUCGUUCACAAAGAUCGAUCGAUGAGCUGGUGCAUUAUCGUGGUGCAAAACCCAAGUGUUAUGCUUCCACGAAUCCGGCCGCUUACGACGAAUUUUCCCUCUCAAGUGUCUCAUAAUGCCAAGAUAAUAGGCUUUUUUGACCGUUUGGUCCUCCGGAAGGAAUUCCAAAUGGACAUCAUAUCAAAAAUCAAAAGUUAACUUAUUUUUAAUGGUGCUGUAAACAAACUGAAUGACAGAUCGCGCUCAAAAUUGACCACUUAAUAUCAGACCAUUGACAAUAUUACCAACUAAAAAAAAUUAAAUUUUGAAAAAUGGUCAGUGGGAAAAUUGAAAAUUACAAAUUUCCUGUAUAUAUUUACCAGAAUAUAUUUUAUAUUCAAUCCGUAGUUUAACUUAUCAGAAAAGAUCCUAAUAUAAUAGGAAUGUGUUUGACCCUUUCUGUUGUAUUUCUUGUUGAUAUAGGUUUAUUUCUCCGAUUUUUCGCAAUUUUUUUUUUUUCAAACACUCACAUAUGGGAUAUGGAUCAGUGUACUUUCAACGCUGGAACUUCAAAACAAAUGCACAAAUGGCAUGGAAUAGCUGGCCGGAUUUUAAUGUUGUUUCAUUCGAGUUAUAAUUUUGUAUUCCCUAUAUCGAGUGUUUUGUGCAUUUUGAUCGACUAAUGGGUUUGACAUUCGAAUAGGGUCGAACGAAAAAUGAUCGAGCGAAUUACAUAAUGGAAUUUGUCUAGGCGAUCGUAACAACAACUAUUUUCACUCAAGGGGGGACCCUGUUCUGGAAUGUCGAAAAAAAUAAUUUUUUUUGGGAAGCUUAUGCCCUAAGAAAUAUUAUCCUAAAAGGAUUUUUCGAAAGUUACAGCCAAAAGUAUGAGGUCACCUCAAGAGAUAUAGUAUUGCUGUACGAAUUUUCAAACGCGUUUUUCUCGAAACCAUAUUUUUUCAGCUGGUGGUAUCGAUAAUCAUUAUUCGUGCACUCAAAAUAUGAAAAAAAAAACAUCUUAAAAUAUACCUUAAACAAUAACCAAAAUAUCCGAAAACUUCACUCCAUUCCUAACGUCCGAAAAAAAAUCACGAAAUCAAUUAUUUUUCGACCUUCCAGACAAUGGUCCCCCCUUAAUGUUAUUUAUUAUGUCUUCCGGAAGGAAUGUUUUCAUUUGAACAGAAAAGAUAUUGGGUUGGGGAAAAAGAAAUGUCGUAUUUCUGAUCGAAAUUUGACGCUUUAUUUAACAUACUUAAAAUUAUUCAAUUUAAGUCAAAUAUGCGCCGUUUUGAUCGCAAACUUAUUGCCAUUUAUUUAUUUAUUUAUUCGUUUUCGAUUUAAACGUACAGACUACUAAUUACUCCUAAAAAUCUUAAUUCUAUUUUUAAACACGCAUCGAUUGAUUUCAUAGUCAAAACAGUCAUUGAUAUCGUUAAAAGCACGGAGGGCUGUGUCGAAAGGGUUAAGGUAACCGUAACCGGGCCGACAAUUUGUGAGUUCCUCAGUUGUCGAGGGGGCACGUAUAGAGGAAUGUCCUGCAAGAGUUGAGCACAGUCAAUGUUGCCACGUAGAAUGUCAAUGACCAUUAGUUGUUGAAUUGCUCUGCGCCUGGCAUUUUAUGUUUCCAUUUUGAUUAACAUGCAGCGGGCAGGAUAAUCAGGCAGAUUUGACGAGUUACUCCACGGUAGGUUUCGUAAAGCAAAUCGAAUAAAGCGCUUCUGUAUUCUUUCAAUUCUUACGACCACGGAUACGUGAUAAGGUGCCCAAACAGGGGCCGCGUAUUCUAAGCCACUACGAAUCAGGCUGCAGAAUAAUGCUUUCUGUGCGUAGAUGUCGGUAAAUUGCCAAGUGAAGCGUCGAAUGAAACCAAGAAUAGUAAAGGCUUUGGCUGUGAUGAGUGCGACGUGUUCAUUGAAUCUAAUCUUGGAGUCAAACGUGACACCAAGAUCACAAAUCGAGGUAACGCGCUCUAAUGGAGAAGAUCCGAUAGCGUAUUGAUGUUCUAUGAUGGUGUUUCUUCGGAAAAAUGGAAUCACCUUGCAUUUGUUAAUGUUGACGCUCAUACCGUUUUCAUUGCACCACAAUAGCAGUUCGUCGAUGUCUUUUUGUAGAGCGAGACAGUCGAGUGCAGUCAUAAUUACGCGGAAAAUCUUCAGGUCGUCAGCAAACAUUUGUUUAAAAGAUGACAAACGGGGACACAAGUCAUUAACGAAAAGAACAAACAACAGCGGUCCAAGCACGCUUCCUUGUGGUACUCUAGAUGUAAUUUUGAAAGUUGAAGAACGCGUGAAGUUAAUCGAUACGGAGAACUGACGGUCUAUUAAGUAAGAUAAAAUCCACUCAACCAGCCAAGGCAACUUGAUUAUCCCCCCUUAUAAAACCCCCCCUCCUUAUUUGCAAAAAACUCAGACAGCCAGUUUUCGCAAGCCAACUUAGUAUCACCAAGAUCGUUUUGCAUGGACCGGAAGAGAUGAUAAUCACUUGGAGCCAGGUCCGGACUAUACGGUGGGUGUAAUAGGACAUCCCAUCCGAGCUCCCGUAGCUUCUGGCAGGUCAUCGAAGAUGUGUGAGGCCGAGCGUUAUCCUGGUGGAAAACAACACCAUUCCUAUUGAUCAUUUCUGGCCGCUUCUGGUCAAUCACUUGCUUCAAACGGUCAAGCUGCUCACAGUAGAGAACCGAGUUGAGGGUCUGGCCAUAGUUGAGCAGCUCAUAGUGGAUAAUUCCCUUCCAAUCCCAUCAAGCACACAGCAAAACCUUCCUGGCCGUCAAUCCGAGCUUGGCGAUGGUUUGGGCCGACUCACCGCGCUUCGACCACGACUUUUUUCGCUUUAGGUUGCCGUACAAUCACAACACUGUCAAAACGACACUUGUAGCAUAGAUUGUCGUCUUUAAAUAACCGUAUAGUAUAACCCGAUGCGAUAAGUACAACACAAGAUAUGUUUAAGUGUUGCCAUAUAUUGACAAUAUACGACAUUUCUUUUUCCCCAAACCAAUAUUAAAAGAUGUAUUCAAGUUACGGUGGUUUCACUUUUCCCGAGCCUUAAAACAUUUAAUCGUUUAUAUUGAAUGAUAUGCGCAUAUAUUAUUAUUUUGUUUUCUCCUCGUUUUCUUUUUCAUGUCCAUCACUUGUCGCCUGUAUAACUAACAGAAAGAAAUACCGAAGAAGCACAAUGUGGUAUAUAGUCACAGACAAGCUGAACAUUGGACAAAAUACAUGCUUAGAUACUGAGUAGCUAAUGUUUGACUAACAACAAGCUGGUACACAAGUAAGACCAUUAGGCUAUCGUGAAUGCUUUGAACUUUUUCCAUAAACUAUUUUUUUUAAAAUAUUCUGAAAUGGUAAGUAGUUUUGGGUGUACAUAUUUGUUACCGUCAUUUAUUUCUGAAACUCCAAGCUAAAUUUAUAAUCUAAAACAUUGUUCAGCACUGGCCAUUUUCCCUUCGAGUUGCUCUUGAAUCCCACGACUUUUGACAUAGGACAUAGGAGCAAUCUUUUCGCCGGUGUUAGCUCACAACAUGAGACGAUGUGUAUCACAAGUUCAAUCAAUUCGGGCACAAUUCACGUCUUUAUCGUGUAGGUCUUGCCAGUGGCGUCGACUAGGGGGUACAUGAUUUCAGGGGCGCAGAAUGAACCGAAUUUAUAUGAAUAAAUUGGAUAACAUGAUUUCUGACGGGGGGUGGGAGUUUAAAUCCACUCUUCCACCCGGGUGAAAAGCUUCACUCGACGCCACUGGGUCUUGCCAUUACCAAUUUACGUAACUGUGGCCCAGGAUGUCAUAAUAUCGGACAUAUUGUUUGAUUAUGUAAAAACUACAAUUAUAAGUUUAACUGACUGCUGAUUAAGGAGUUCGAACGGGUAUACUCGCGCAUUUCAGAUUAUGAUAGCUCGAGUAGUCACGAUCUUAGCACCCAAUGAGAUCAAUUCAUUACAGCAGCCACACGAAUUUCCCAAUAGUGCACUCAUGGCCAUAGGAUACUCAAUAUACAUCACCUAGUUAUGAAUUUAUUACAACUCCCUACAAUGUUCCGGAAAACGUGUCAACGAAGGAGAAAAUGCUAUUUUGAUCCAUAAUACAUUUCUGUAGUCAUAGAUUUAUUUGACUUAGGUUUAUAUUUAUGUAGAUCUUAACUAUUUAGACUUGUGUUUAAGAAUGCUAAAUUAUGACUCCUUGUCUUCUUCUGCGUAAUUGAAUAAAUAGAAGAAAAAGGUAGUAAUGGCUUCAAUGAUAUUUUUGUGUACAUUUUUGAACAGAAUGUGGUUCCGAAUUCUACCACGUUAUCUCAUCUAACCCUUUCAAAGGAUACAAGUUUAUACAGGAAACGAUAUUUUUCUUGGCUUCCAUUUGAUGUAUCAAAAGAGAAAAAAUACAGUUUUUGAGCAAUAAAAAACUCAAUUCAAAUACAAUUACUCCAAACAAACACAGUCCUAUGUCAAGAUACCGUCCGUGCUCCUAGGCCCAGACCCAUGAAAUUUUUAUUUGGUUUUCUUUUAAAGGAAAACCAGAAACCGGUAAUUAUUUGAGUCGAUUCUACAAUCGAUCUAAUCUUUCUUUUUCAUAAGAAAAGAACUGAAGCGUGACUCAAUUUCGAUCUCAAACGCAAGAAAACUAUAUUUAAAUGACUGGAGCAAAGUAUACCCGAUAAAUAUCAAUAAAGUGAAAAGUGCAUGCCUCACGGCUAACAUCUCCGUACCUAAUUGAUAUCACCAGUAACAAAAUUUUUGAAAUCGAAGUAAUUUUGAUCCAAAUGUAUUACUCAUAAUAACUCCUCAUAAUCGCUCCUCAGAUUGAGAGCAAUGGUUUACUGACACAUUAUUCAAGAACGAAGAACUCGAACCCAAUUUUUGAUUCAAGAAAACAACAUUCGUAUUUGUUGUCCAAAACUCUAUCAUAAGAAGCACUCUUUUUUCACACAAAUCAUUGCAACCUUUGUUCAGUGUUAUCGCCAGCACUUCGAACCAUCUCAUGAUCAACUUUGGGAUUGAAACUCACAACAACCGCAAGCAACUACACUGCAGACUAUCGAUAUUCAUACGAUAUUCAUUGGCUAGACGUAAAUCACUGAUCACUCGUUUCACUGGCAACUCUUCAGGUCGAUGUGGUCCAAUUCAUUCAGCCUUUUUACACAAAACCGGAUUUCACUGGCGCUAGCAGUAAAUGCUAAGUGCCCUCUGGAGCGCAGAAUCCGGAUGCUCUUGCUUUGAAAGAAAUUUAAGCUGGUUCAAAAAUAUUUUGCUUCGACAGAAAUGCAUCAAAUAUUUCGAUUCACCGCAGAAACGGUAGACGCAUGACCACCACAAUAACAAAUACAAGAAACUAACAACUGACAAAAGUAGCGGAAAAUAUUCAUUGUUGCCCUUUAUAGACCAAUAGUACAAAAAUAGUUGUUUAGUGCUCAUCACAUUGCAUCGUAUAUUGUCACUCAUAAUCAUUCAAUUCCGAGUAAAUUGUUGGAACCAGUCAGUUGAAUGAUAAUUUGUAACAGAGUCAUGAUUACUACAACCGGCCUUACACGGUUCAGAGUUUCGUGUUUGUGAUAAAAUUAGACUUAAGAAAGUUGUGUGAUUGAUUGGAUUUAUGUCUUAAAACUCUUAACAACUCAUCACCCAUGAACUGCUUAUCAGGUAAAAACAAUCUUAACAUUUGUGUUGAUGGAUUCUCUGGGGUUGAAAUAAACGUGAUUCGAAAAAGCACAUAUCACACAGAAUACAUCUAUCGUUGUCCAUGAAAUAACCAAAUUCGCGUACAGAUUAGAAAGAGUUAAAUUAUUAGAACAUACGACUUCCCACUAGUUCCAAAAGAAUAAUAUACUCCGAUUGUAGUUUUGAUAUAGAAAAAAUAAAAAGAUAUUAUAUAUUGCCGAAACAUUUAGAGAUGACAGGACGCAGAUUAGUAGACAUCACGAUCGUUAAAUAAACACCAAAAAAACUUGUCAUUAAAGAAACACGUGUUAUUGUUGAUAGACUUGUUGGAAAUGGAAGAAAAGUUUUCAUUGAUUGAGAAAUAAACCAAAUAAUAUCAAUAACUAUAUUAAAAGCGGAACGUGUUAGUUAUGCGCAAAUAGACAAUAGUUUAUAGGUUAUUACAUAAUUGGGAAGAAAUUAUUCUAUAAGAAGAAAUGAAAACUACGAGAGUCAAUGAAAUAUGAACUGGAGUUUCAAAAUAUCGCCAACAAUAUGAAUUUGAUUGUAAUAAUGCGCAAUAUCUGAUUAGCUUUUUUGAUGUUUUAGUGACAAUUUCAAAAGUUCAAAGACUAGUUUCCCUGACUCUGGCAACUAUGGUCUCUACAGGCAUUCCGUCUUUAUUUUGGAUGCGGUCAUAAUUCACGUUGACAGUGGAAUAGUGUCGACGUCUGGUGGUGACUUCCAAAUAUGGGACAUAAUUUGGGUCCCAACCUAGUUAGUAUAACCUCUAUCAGAUUAGAUGACACGAAACCAAUUUUAAUUUGUUAGAACACGUAUUUCUGAUUUUUUUAACCAUUUGACUAUACAUUUUUAGCAUUGUUACUGAAACUUCUCAUCAUAAUAUAAAGUUUUCUUCAAAAACUAUUUUCGUACAAGUUUUUUUCAUCACAUCCAAAAAAAGUGUUUUUCGUUUAAACAUAAUACUAAUUUGGUACGGAAAAGUAAAUUUUCAUUCAUAAUUUUAAUUUUAAAAAAGUGUCCAUUCCGCCCGAAAAUCUAUUAUUUUUUAACGUUCCCCUGAACUAUUAAACGAAACUCAAUGCCGUCAACGCGGAUACUUUCUCAGAGACAAUGAUUUCUUGACAUCAGGUUACGAUGAACGGUACUGUGUACCCUAUAGCUGAAUGAAUAGUCGGAUUUAUCACUAUUUCGAUCAGUCUUUUGUCCUAUGAUCGUUGAACUCGUGCGCACGAAUCGAAGUACUGAUCGAGCGAUUAACGCGCUCUACAGGUUUAGUUUGCGAGUGAUAUCUCCAACACCGACCGAACGGAAUUAUGAAAAAACAUAAGUCCAGCAAUAGGUCUCCCGAGUAGGCACCGAGAUGCUCAGGAAAGCGUAUACUUGGGUCCAAUUGCUACAUGGAUCUACGAUGAGCAGGAUAUACUAUUUCACUGCGCGUGACCUUGGCAAUGAGCUUAUAUGAUCAUGAGCUAUGAUCUGCCAGGAUUGAUUUGACAGGCGUAUAUCUGCCUUCUGUGGAGGGGUUGACGCAUUUGAUGGUUUUAUUUCUCGAAACACAUUUUUGUACGGGCAGUCUUAAAUUAUUGGACAUUACUAAUGACCCAUUAGGCAAAUAGACCAUGUUGUAUCUUAGGUGCAAUUGGAUAAAGGUAUCUUCAUGUUGGUUUGGAGAUCUGAAACUCAGGUACAAGAACAAUAUCAUAUAAUAUCAACACUAUCGCGUUUUUUUUUCUCGCAUAAUCUUCUUGUGGAUAUUCGAGUUCAUAUUGUUAACAAAAAUCUCACUUUUCAGUCCACCACUACCAGUUCCUUACCAGAUCAAGAGUUUUAUAUCGAAAUGAUCAGAAAAAACGAACUUAAAUAAACCCACUACUUUUUUCCAUUUGCUGGCAAUCUACGGAUUCCGUAGCGAAAGAAGCGCUCAUCUAUUAAAGCCAAGAAUGAAUCCAGACAAUUUUUGAUACCCUGUUCAGAAGUAAAGUGUAUUUCACUCAAAGCGUGUUCUAUCGAUCGGAACAAAAAAUAGUCGGAGGUCAGAAUAGUCGGGCUAUAAGGCGGGUGAAUCAGAAUUUCCCAUCCGCGAUUUUUUAAAUAGUUUUUAACUCGAACAGCAACAUGAGUCCAAGUAAUGUCUUGAUGAAAUAUUAUCGACUCGUGUUUGGUUGCUUAAUCUGGACGGUUUUCUGCGAAAGCUCGCAUUAAUCAAUUGUUGCCUGUAGAAUCCUCCAUUGAUCGUUCGACCUGGUUUCAGCAGCUCAAAGUGGAUCACACCCUUUUGAUCCCACCAAUUUCAGAGCAUUACUUUUGGUACCGUGGAUAUUCGGUUUUGGUUGGCCGGGCUUGACUUACGAUCUUUUGUGUUUUGGGUUGUCGUAGUGAAUCCAUUUUUCGUCUCCGAUAACAAUUAAGGUAAAUGAUGUUGGUUUGUCCGAUCUUGGGUAUUUUCACGCAACUAGUAAAUGCAAAUUGAUUUUUCUUCAUGAAAAUCACAAGCAAUCUAGUUUGGAUUUGUUGAAAAGGGUUCAAGUCUCUAGUUGCUAAUGAUACCAUAAGACGUUCAAAUUAUUAAUUUUUUUUACGUGUUUUACGAUUUUCUCCAAAGAGAAACUAUGAUCAUGGUUUAUCCACCUCUGAUCAUGAUUUGUCCGAAAAUGAUCAUGGUUUGUUUGGUUUUAGAAAUCACCAUUUUUGAAUGAAAAAAAAAUUGAAUUUUCAAGUAGAUGCUGCAUUUCUCAUUGCUUGAUCCAUUCAUAAUUUAGGUUUUCUUCGGAAUAUUGCCUUUUAUUGGGCAUUUUACAGGUGAACUGCGCUCAACACAGAGAAACUUUAUUGCUUCUUCGCGCAAAGAACAUCAAAACAAAACAAACAAACUACAGCGCGCUAAGCGGUUUCGCUUAGUGUGUUUUGGGAUUUAAAAAUUUUAAAAUAUAAUUCAAUUUUUGAGCAAAAAAUUUUAACGAUAAUGUCAACGCAAAAGUGCUACAAGAUUGCUUUCAUGGCAUUCAACACGAUCUACUGAACCUAAUAAAUGAAUCUCUACGAACUGGGCACGUGCCAACGGUUUGGAAGGAAUCCCUUAUGAUUCCGAUCCCCAAAGUUAAUGGGAAGGAUAAAGCCGAAGAGUGCCGCCCUAUUAGCAUGUUGCACAUAUUUGAAAAAAUGUUAGAACGUGUUGUGAAAGUCCAGCUGAUGCAUUUUGUAGAUAACAACAAUUUGCUAAUACCGGAACAGUCGGGAUAUCGAGAGGGACACCCUUGUGAAACCACUCUGAAUCUGGUGUUAGCAAAAUUGAAAGAGAAUAUUGAGGCGAAAGAUACUAUAUUUACGGUAUUUCUGGAUUUUAAACGCGCUUUUGAAACAAUUUCUAGGCCCUUAUUGUUACAAACAUUGGAGCGCAAUGGAAUCGUAGAAAUGUCGUACAAAUAGUUCGAAAGCUAUUUGUGCGACAGACCUCAAAAGACUCGUUUUAAUUAUUCUUUUUCCGAUCCCAUCGGUAACUCACUCGGGAUGCCGCAGGGAGGUGUCUUAGGGCCCAUUUUGUUUAUUUUAUAUAUAACUGAUCUGCGACGGGAUUUUACGAUAUUGUGACGCUAAUUUGUUCGCGAAUGAUACUGCCCUGUUCAUCGCAGCUAAGGAUAUAUAAGAAACCGAGGAACACAUAAACGAAGAUUCGGAUUCUCUGGCUCAGUGGCUUAAAUUCAAACAAUUGAAAUUGAAUGUUGGCGAAACAAAAUACAUGCUAAAGCAAACUCCAGUAUAGACGUCAAUUUUAAAAUAGAUGGUGAGAUACUAGAACAUUGCAAAAUGCAGAUUGCUGCAAAAGGUUUUGACCCCCCUUGUAGUAUAUUUUUAAGAGUCUUGAUCCACAACAGCUUGGGACCUUGGCAGUUCUCGCGACUGACGUUGAUCGCAAAUUACGUUUACGACCCGGACAUAUUUGACGCUGUCCCAUGCUGGUGUAGGAACAGAAGGAAUACUCUUA